rnacentral:piRNA from 1 species
UUGCAGCACAGGGGAACAGAGAAC